rnacentral:rRNA from 1 species
CACGGGGGGAGCAAGCGUUGUUCGGAAUCACUGGGCGUAAAGGGCGUGUAGGCGGUCAGGUAAGUGAGAUGUGAAAUGCCCCGGCUCACCCGGGGACCGGCAUCUCAUACUGCUUGGCUUGAGUACGGGAGAGGAUGUGGGAAUUCCUGGUGUAGCGGUGAAAUGCGUAGAUAUCAGGAGGAACACCGGUGGCGAAGGCGCACAUCUGGCCCGAUACUGACGCUGAGGCGCGAAAGCGUGGGGAGCGAACAGG